GAACAGAGCAGAGCAGGCCCAAGCUUAAUAACAAAUGAAAAAAAACUUUAUUAAAAUUACUACUACUGAACAAGACACACACACUAAACCCAAGAUGAAGGCCCUCCAAAACACUACUCUUCCCACCCAAUUUCCAAAACAACCACAGUGAGACAUCACCCGGGAUUCCUGAUCAAGUUGCCACCCUUCAGAUGAUCAAUACUCAGUCCAUCAAGGGAGAGAGGAGUCUCUUGCACGACAGACGCCCCCCAGAAAACACAAUUGCCACCCUUCUGUGUUUCCAUGUUACACAUGGCAACCACCCAGAGAAAAUCUGCCAGUGUGACACUCUCCUUUCCAUGUCACAGUGCUCUCACCACCGUGCAUGGACAGACUGCCCAUAGGGCUCCUUUAAGGAUGCUUUGCCACAGACCAAAAGAAACAACAGUUCAGCUUUUCAUCUUGGGACCACAGUCCCCCCCAUUUUCUUCCUUUCCUGGGGCCGAGGGUCCAAGAACAGAGAUCAUCUUCUUCCUGAAGACAGAGGGCAUCACCACACCCUCCCCAGCUUUUCUCUGUUCUUGCCAUUCCUGUGCUGGUAGUUGCUGAAGCAGGUCUGUUUGGUUCACCACUGCAUCCCCCUAAAAUGCAGUCUCUGUUGCAGGAGAAUUUGGUUCAGUCUAUGGCUAAUAAGAAAAGUCCAGCCACAAGCCACUCCGUCAUCUCCUCCCACCUAAAAAUUUGUUCUUCUAACAUCUCAGGUGCCGGACUGUCUCUCUUCCACUAUAAAUCGAGGAGGAGUAAUAUUUUACAAAGCCUUCAUUUUCCAGGACAGGGUUAAAAGUUCAGACUCCCCGGAUGGCUGAAAUCUCUGCCCAGAACUCCGACUCCCAAGGCUGGGUACCUCCCCCCCGCUUCUCUUCUGCCAGCAAAUUUCUAGGUGCUGUCCGGUGUCACCAAAUGACACAAGCAAAAACGACGCACCACAGCCUUGGUCACGAUGAAGAGACUAAUUUAUUUUUUCUGACUCCAAUCUUUUAUAGUUCUCAAAAGAUGCCAGUGGAUUGGAGGGUGAACGUGCCACCUCUCCAACGACACUGGACAAACUACCUGUACAUCAAAUUUCUCUGCCUCUAUGAAAGAAUGCAAAACAAUAGGUUAUUUACAGAAAGUUGUGUGAGAAAGUUCUCUACAAGAAUGUAAACUCAGAAAGCUUUAGAAAACUCUUGAUAACCAGGGCGACAGUCCGGCUCUCUGUCUCUUUCCCUCUGGUGGGGGGAACAAAGACAUCUCCGCUUCUCUCCACUGUUCCAUCCGCAGGAGCUGGCACGGUUCUAGACCUUCAGCCCCCUCGGCCUACCUGGACCAGGCCGCACGGCUUCCCCUCCCGCACCCAGCCUGUGGCUGGGCAGGGGAGAGUCUGCACUGCACUCUGACUGGAACCAAAGAGACAGUUCCCCUGGGAGUUCUUGCUUUUUGUGUGCUCAGAGGCGUGUCUAUAUUUUCAGUGGUCAUUCCAGGUGCCAGUAUCCAAACCUGACCACUGAUUGGUUUGACCCGAACUUUCUGAAAAAUUCACUUCCGUGUCAAGCCACAACUCUGCUUCUAAAUGCUGCUCCUUCAGCUCUAAAAGGCUGCAGGAGAUGAAAACACAACACUUGCCAACACUGACUGCAAGCCACAGCAGCGGGUGCUCCCCGUGAACCUCAGCUCUGGGACCACUUUCUGCCCCAAGCUUCAGGGGCUGCAGUGGGAGCCUGGCUGGGCUCUGCCCUGGGGCCAUCCUGCAGGGACAGCUGCAAACAGGGAGCAUUCCCUUGCCACCAAGAGCCAAGCCAGGGCUGCAGGGCAGCUGCUCCAGCCCGGACUGCACUGCUGAGUGCUGUGCUCUGGGGCUGGGGCUCCCCGCACAGGGGACUGGACUGGGAUGCCAGAGGAGACAGAGAAGCUGCAGCUUCAGCCGAACUGAGAUCUUCAGGACUGUGCUGAGGAUCCCCUCUGAGCAGGGACGGCACAAAGCCUUUUCCACCUGCCUCCCUCACCUGGCCGUGGUCUCCCUCAUUGUCAGCACUGCAGUGUUUGCCUACCUGAAGCCCCCCUCCAUGUCCUCCCCAUCCCUGGAUCUGGCCCU